UAGGAUGAGUGACGUUAUUAGGAA
rnacentral:piRNA from 1 species